rnacentral:misc_RNA from 1 species
CACAACUAUCCACAGCAGAGGAGGCGGGACUAAUUUUAAUGUGUGGGCCAAACGGUUAAGAUUGUACACUUGGAAUGAAUGGGCUUCUGUUGGUGUCACAAUGAUCAAAAGUUUUCUGGACAAUAUAAUUUCUUGAUCAAGUGACUCGUUAACAAAGGCUUUGACAACAAUAUCAUCUUUCACUUCAUCGUAUACUAAGUUAGGCUCAG